UACGGAGGGAGCUAGCGUUGUUCGGAAUUACUGGGCGUAAAGGGCGCGUAGGCGGCCUUCUAAGUCGAACGUGAAAUCCCCGGGCUCAACCCGGGAACUGCGUCCGAUACUGGAAGGCUUGAAUCCGGGAGAGGGAUGUGGAAUUCCAGGUGUAGCGGUGAAAUGCGUAGAUAUCUGGAGGAACACCGGUGGCGAAGGCGGCCAUCUGGACCAGCACUGACACUGAGGCACGAAAGCGUGGGGAGCAAACAGG
rnacentral:rRNA from 1 species